rnacentral:rRNA from 1 species
GCUGGCGGCGUGCUUAACACAUGCAAGUCGAACGGAAAGGCCCUUCGGGGUACUCGAGUGGCGAACGGGUGAGUAACACGUGGGUGAUCUGCCCUGCACUUUGGGAUAAGCCUGGGAAACUGGGUCUAAUACCGAAUAGGACCGCGCUCUUCAUGGGGUGUGGUGGAAAGCUCUUGCGGUGUGGGAUGGGCCCGCGGCCUAUCAGCUUGUUGGUGGGGUAAUGGCCUACCAAGGCGACGACGGGUAGCCGGCCUGAGAGGGUGACCGGCCACACUGGGACUGAGAUACGGCCCAGACUCCUACGGGAGGCAGCAGUGGGGAAUAUUGCACAAUGGGCGCAAGCCUGAUGCAGCGACGCCGCGUGAGGGAUGACGGCCUUCGGGUUGUAAACCUCUUUCAAUAGGGACGAAGCGCAAGUGACGGUACCUAUAGAAGAAGGACCGGCCAACUACGUGCCAGCAGCCGCGGUAAUACGUAGGGUCCGAGCGUUGUCCGGAAUUACUGGGCGUAAAGAGCUCGUAGGUGGUUUGUCGCGUUGUUCGUGAAAACUCACAGCUUAACUGUGGGCGUGCGGGCGAUACGGGCAGACUAGAGUACUGCAGGGGAGACUGGAAUU